rnacentral:other from 1 species
UAUCCCCUGCCGUGCAGGUAAGAGAUGCACUGUUUGUGAACCAACAUCACAGAUUAAGGGAAUGCCCUCUGUUCGUGGUGUGCAAGCCCACCCCGAGUGGGAAGCCUAAAGCGAAUACCGGUGUGCCCACCUAUCGUUAUGAUAGGUUCCAUAAUGGGUAUCUCUACCGCACAUGUGGCGGGGGUUCU